UACCUCUCCUAUUACUACGCACCAAUCGCCAUGCUAAAUUUCGCGGCUAACCCAAUUCUAUAUGCCCUACGUCUACCCGACUACAGGCAAACUUUGCUCGCUUUCGUUGGUAAAAGCAGGAGUAGUUAUCGGAGGAGAUCAACGCAGAACAUGUCGUCACAGUUAACAAACACGUUCUCCUUGAAAAGUCGAAGAGAAAGAGCCGCG